CCAGAAGAUGGGGUUCUAGCUUAAGUGUUUAUUUUAGAAGUCAGAAAGAGGGGCUGGAGCACUGGUUGCUUUUCUAGGGGACUUCCAUUUGAUCCCCGGCACCCAUAAACAUUUGUAAUUCCAGUACCAGGGGAUCCAACACACUCUUCCAGCCUCAGAGAGCGUCAGAGAUGCACUUGGUCCAAAAGACAUACAUUCAGGUGUUGUGUGACAAUACUUUUCUUGGAGAGAUACAAUACAUACAUCUAUUCAUCCCAAAUGGGAAGCCCGUGACAACUACAAGUACAGAUAACGCCAAAGUCCAAAUUGGUAAGUUUUAUUUGGGUUACUUAUAGGAAUAAGGAUGAUGAACUAUUUGCAGAAGCAGAAAUGAGUCACGUACAGCUGCAUCACCAAAACCCACCCUAGCACUGGAGACAGCUCACAAAGCUGGGAACCUGGAACACACUGCACAGCCUGCAGGCAGCUCAACAGGCUGGAGAGUGUCCUUUCCGGGUGCCUCAGUUGGUCUAAACAUAGUGCAGGCAGCUCUAGUUUCUGUUUCUUCCAGAUAGCUGUUGUGGUCUCAGAGUCUCUGUAGCCUUUCUCCUCUGAGAGUCUUUCUUUCGUCUGAGCUUCAUUUCCUCUGAGAGGGACUCUCAACUUUUAUUACUUACUCAGAUAAGUAGAGAGCUAAUGAAUCUGGUUAGUUUCAGGGACUUCCUGAGUUGUUUACCUUCUUGCUCUAGGAGUUUCCUAAGGAUGGAAUAGUUCAAUUCCCCUGGAAAAGAACUGUUAUCCAGCAGCAGGCAAAACACCGAUACAAAUGAGACAAUAAAAUAUUUCUAAAAGAAGGAAGGGAGGUAUUACAUGUUCUCGUUCUUGUUUUUAUGUAUUUGGAAUGUUGCAUGGUUUCAAAUUUUUAAACGUCAGUGUUACAGAAAUAGACAGCAUCAAAACCAAGAAUGCAUAGCAUACACAGCCUGUUGUCAAGAAGCUCGUGUCUGAGUUUAUUUUAACCCGUGCAUCUGUGAUCUUUCAGUCCCAGAAAGACAAACACAGGAGGCUAGAGGAUGGAUAACCAUGACUGAUGGGGAGCUUAAUUAUCUUGCCUCUUUUUUUUUCUAUUCACCAUGGUGAUUACCACUAAAGUGAAACUCUAAACAGGCCUUUUCUACACAGAGAAAAGCAUUUUCGAGGCAGACAAUGCUUGUCUAACUUUAUUCUUUCCCCCUUUAUUUACUAUUUAUUUAUUUAUUUAUUUAUUUAUUUAUUUAUUUGGUGCUGGCGAUUUCAGGUCCUCAAAGCAUACUUCACAUUUAUAUCCUCAACUCUACUUAAUUUCUUGCAAAUUAGAUGUUUGUAAUCUGGUUAAAGGGGAAAAAGGGGGGGGGUCGGUAAAGAGAGAAAGAAAAAUUAGGCAAUUAAAUAUUUUCCCUUCCAAAGUUAAAAGACCUUGCAUUUCCUUUUCUAAACUGAAUUCUUCCUUGCAGUUUGUAGCUAUUCUGGUGGCUUGUUUUCUUUUUUUCUGAGAGUCCAGGAUAGCUUUCAGGAUAAAGUUUCUUUUUGCCCAUGAUGCUUUGCUGUCACAUUGUAAUUGGCUCUGUUGAGCUGAAUAAUACAAAUGGGUUGUUUCUAUGGUAUCGGCUAAGACGGAUGAAAAGGUGAAAUACUAUAUCUGCGCUGAGAGGUCACCGAGCAUCCCUCCUCCCACCCCCAACCGUCAGUCAAGAGGACUCGUGAUCCCUCCAAUCUCAGGCUCUCCUUUAUUACUUCCUGAACAAAUUCACUCAGGGGAAAAAAAAAGACUUUUGUUUAUGUUGUCACCAGGCCCAGACAACCCCUGCCAACUUCAUGCUGCCAUGCCAGAGCUCCUGACUUUCUUACCGCAGGAAAGUUUUACUUUGAAAGGUGCGCGGAGCGUCUUGUCCUCAGUUCCUCCUGCCAGUCAGGCUUUGAACUAACAAUAGGACAGGUUGAAUGAAGGCUGAUAAAAGCAAGUCCUGGAAUCUCGAAACCGGAUCUCUCCGCAGCACGCUACUCCUUUUCCGCCGUCAGUGAGCUCAGAUCUCAUCUUUAGUCAACUUUGGAAUACUUGUGAGUGCAAACGUCCCUCUGCCGCCGGUGCGAUCUUUAACCGCACAUUAGCUUCUCCAGCCCGCUAGCGGGUAAACUGACAAUUAACUGGCUUGUUGAUUAAUGCCAACGAGUGGUAUUUGGAAGAGACAGAGGGAUAACAAAGCAUCCUAUAACCUGCAUUCCCUGUUCCUCAAUUUGAUUUGUAGUUUACUUAAAAUGGAUAGUUGAAAAUAACAGAUGCUAUAUUUAUUGGAAAGGGGAAAGGGGGAGAGGGAAGGAAAGAAAGGUUUUACUUUCGAAGCUGUUCAAACUCUUGUAAGAACAUUACACAGUUCGCUUCCCCUGAACCCUCCAACUUUGUUCUGGCAACUUCUUUAACCAGCCAGGCACCUAAACUGAUAAUCGACUAAGGGUGUCUUCGGUCUUGGGAUUCUUGGAGAUUUGCUACGAGAAAGGACAGAAGAGCUUUAUUCUCAGGUUUCUGGCCUGUGCCUAGCAGGAGCAUCUUCAGCAGGAUAUAGGACAAGGGGUCCAUGUCCAAUACUUGGCUCCGGUUCAUCUAGGCUACAAGCGCUCCAGUCCAUUCGCGCGCGCUCCAGUUCCGGAUUUGCCCUGAGCUGAGGGUUAAGAGGGAGGGGGCUCCAAUGUGAGCGUGAGGAUUUGAAUGAGAAAGCAGGUUGUGGCGGCAGCGCAGGUCUUUACUCCGAGCUCCUCGUUGGGUUCUGCUGGCUGGUGUGUAGUGGUGCCCAUCUAGGGGGCCUGUCUUGGAGGAAUUGGGGUUGGAAUCACACCGGGACACUCGCAGAUCAUCCAAGCAUUUGGGAGGUUGCGCCGGUGACAAAAACUCCGAGGAUCCUUCAUCCGCGGGAUAAUCAGUACUGAGCAGAGGUCCAGCCGCCAGGAGGGUCCGGCAUCGCGGCGGGAUGGUCCCACAAGAGCUCCCGGAUCCUCUGGCCGCCAGGAGAGCAAUUCUGCCUCCCUAGAAGCGAGUCCUCAGUUGCCCGUGCGAGUCUCACGAUUCCAAAAAACUCAGGGCAUUAGGCGCGAGAAGGAUUUACUCCAACUGCCCUUUCCUGGGACAAAUCAAGGGUUACCAGAGCGACGCCCAGGCUGUGAAGGCGUUCUCUGCGCCUGCGCGGGAUACCAUGGCAACAGUACCG
ensembl:lncRNA